UACUAGCCCGGAUCGCAAUGGAAAUCCUUUUUUUUGCGUUGGCAAAAGCGGCUGUAAAAAAAAGAUUGUAAUGAAUCUCGUCUAAGG
rnacentral:sRNA from 1 species